GAUGAACGCUGGCGGCGUGCUUAACACAUGCAAGUCGAACGAUGAAGCCCAGCUUGCUGGGUGGAUUAGUGGUGAACGGGUGAGUAACACGUGAGUAACCUGCCCUUAACUCUGGGAUAAGCCUGGGAAACUGGGUCUAAUACCGGAUAGGAGCGUCCACCGCAUGGUGGGUGUUGGAAAGAUUUAUCGGUUUUGGAUGGACUCGCGGCCUAUCAGCUUGUUGGUGAGGUAAUGGCUCACCAAGGCGACGACGGGUAGCCGGCCUGAGAGGGUGACCGGCCACACUGGGACUGAGACACGGCCCAGACUCCUACGGGAGGCAGCAGUGGGGAAUAUUGCACAAUGGGCGAAAGCCUGAUGCAGCGACGCCGCGUGAGGGAUGACGGCCUUCGGGUUGUAAACCUCUUUCAGUAGGGAAGAAGCGAAAGUGACGGUACCUGCAGAAGAAGCACCGGCUAACUACGUG
rnacentral:rRNA from 1 species